GGGCUUGACUGGUUUUGACAGCGGGUAGAAGUGGUUUGUAAGCAUGCAGUGCGUCGUUGUUCGGCACUUUAAUCUCGAAUGAUAAAAUUUAAUUGGCGAAAAAUCUUACGCUCUCGCUGCGUGAUCGAAGUAUAGUAAAUCACUCGCUUAAUUCCCGUAUAGUGUACAGGAACGAGACAUCACCCGGGGCUGUUGCUCCGAAGCGACCCGAACCGGUGGUGCAGUAAUAUCGGAGAUAGUCUGUGAGCGUUCCCGGCAAACAGAUGAAAUGAUUUGGGAAUAAGCUCUUCGUUGGUGGCUUUGGUCUGGCGUGGGGUCGAAAACAAAAGCAGAGAUAAGCAUGUAGAAAGCAGAUUAGUUCCCUGUUUGGACGAGGGUUCGAUUCCCUCCAGGUCCACAU
rnacentral:tmRNA from 1 species